rnacentral:rRNA from 1 species
AACGUAGGUGGCGAGCGUUAUCCGGAUUCAUUGGGCGUAAAGCGCUUGUAGGUGGCCUUGUAAGUUGGACGUGAAAUCUCCCGGCUUAACCGGGCGGGGUCGUUCAAUACUGCAGGGCUGGAGGAUGUCAGAGGGCAGCGGAAUUCCAGGUGUAGCGGUGAAAUGCGUAGAUAUCUGGAGGAACACCGGUGGCGAAGGCGGCGUUCUGGACUGCAACUGACACUGAGGAACGAAAGCCAGGGGAGCAAACGGG